rnacentral:rRNA from 1 species
GACGAACGCUGGCGGCGUGCUUAACACAUGCAAGUCGUACGGUAAGGCCCUUUCGGGGGUACACGAGUGGCGAACGGGUGCGUAACACGUGAGUAACCUGCCCACAACUUUGGGAUAACGCUAGGAAACUGGUGCUAAUACUGGAUAUGUGCUCCUGCUGCAUGGUGGGGGUUGGUAAGCUCCGGCGGUUGUGGAUGGACUAGCGGCCUAUCAGCUUGUUGGUUGGGUAGUGGCCUACCAAGGCGGCGACGGGUAGCCGGCCUGAGAGGGUGACCGGCCACAUUGGGACUGAGGUACGGCCCAGACGCCUACGGGAGGCAGCAGUGGGGAAUAUUGCACAAUGGGCGCAAGCCUGAUGCAGCAACGCCGCGUGCGGGAUGACGGGCUUCGGGUUGUAAACCGCUUUCAGCAGGGACGAAGCUUUUUGUGACGGUACCUGCAGAAGAAGCACCGGCUAACUACGUG